rnacentral:rRNA from 1 species
UGACGGUACCGGAUCAGAAAGCCCCGGCUAACUACGUGCCAGCAGCCGCGGUAAUACGUAGGGGGCAAGCGUUGUCCGGAAUUAUUGGGCGUAAAGGGCGCGCAGGCGGUUUCCUAAGUCUGAUGUGAAAGGCCACGGCUCAACCGUGGAAUGGCAUUGGAAACUGGGGAACUUGAGUACAGGAGAGGAGAGUGGAAUUCCACGUGUAGCGGUGAAAUGCGUAGAGAUGUGGAGGAACACCAGUGGCGAAGGCGGCUCUCUGGCCUGUAACUGACGCUGAGGCGCGAAAGCGUGGGGAGCGAACAGGAUUAGAUACCCUGGUAGUCCACGCCGUAAACGUUGAGUGCUAGGUGUUAGGGGUUUCGACACCCUUAGUGCCGAAGCAAACGCAUUAAGCACUCCGCCUGGGGAGUACGACCGCAAGGUUGAAACUCAAAGGAAUUGACGGGGGCCCGCACAAGCGGUGGAGCAUGUGGUUUAAUUCGACGCAACGCGAAGAACCUUACCAGGUCUUGACAUCUUUUGCUACUUC